rnacentral:rRNA from 1 species
GACGAACGCUGGCGGCGUGCCUAUACAUUCAAGUAGAACGCCGAAGGAGGAGCUUGCUUUCCUGGAUGAGUUGCGAACGGGUGAGUAACGCGUAGGUUAACUGCCCGGUAGCGGGGGAUAACCAAUGGAAACGAUAGGUAAUACCGCCUAAUAAUAGAAGGUGCAUGAAAUUUGCUUAAAAAGUGCAAUUGCAUUACCACCAGAUGGACCUGCGUUGUAUUAGCUAGUUGGUGGGGUAACGGCUCACCAAGGCGACGAUACAUAGCCGACCUGAGAGGGUGAUCGGCCACACUGGGACUGAGACACGGCCCAGACUCCUACGGGAGGCAGCAGUAGGGAAUCUUCGGCAAUGGACGGAAGUCUGACCGAGCAACGCCGCGUGAGUGAAGAAGGUUUUCGGAUCGUAAAGCUCUGUUGUAAGAGAAGAACGAGUGUGAGAGUGGAAAGUUCACACUGUGACGGUAGCUUACCAGAAAGGGACGGCUAACUACGUG